rnacentral:rRNA from 1 species
GCUCAGAAACUUAAAGGAAUUGACGGGGCCCGCACAAGCGGAGGAGCAUGUGGUUUAAUUCGAUGAUACGCGAGGAACCUUACCUGGGCUCGAACGUAAGAUGACUGUAGGUGAAAGCUUACAUCUCUUCGGAGCAUUUUACGAGGUGCUGCAUGGUUGUCGUCAGCUCGUGCCGUGAGGUGUCGGGUUAAGUCCCAUAACGAGCGCAACCCUACCUUUAGUUGCCAUCAGGUAAUGCUGGGGACUCUAAAGGAACUGCCUACGCAAGUAGUGAGGAAGCGGGGAUGACGUCAAAUCAGCACGGCCCUUACGUCCAGGGCUACACACGUGCUACAAUGGCCGAUACAGAGGGCAGCUACCUGGUGACAGGAUGCAAAUCUCCAAAGUCGGUCUCAGUUCGGAUCGGAGUCUGCAACCCGACUCCGUGAAGUUGGAUUCGCUAGUAAUCGCGCAUCAGCCAUGGCGCGGUGAAUACGUUCCCGGGCCUU